rnacentral:hammerhead_ribozyme from 1 species
AUCCAGCUGCCGAGUUCUAAAUAGGACGAUACAUACGUUCUGGAU